rnacentral:rRNA from 1 species
UACGAAGGUGGCAAGCGUUGUUCGGAUUUACUGGGCGUACAGGGAGCGUAGGCGGUUGGAUAAGCCCUCCGUGAAAUCUCCAGGCUCAACCUGGAAAGUGCAGAGGGGACUGUUCAGCUAGAGGAUGGGAGAGGAGCGCGGAAUUCCCGGUGUAGCGGUGAAAUGCGUAGAGAUCGGGAGGAAGGCCGGUGGCGAAGGCGGCGCUCUGGGCUGCACCUGACGCUGAACUGCGAAAGCCAGGGGAGCGAACGGG